GCCAGGCAUGGUGGCUCAUGCCUGUAGUCCCAACUACUCAGGAGGCUGAGGUGAGAGGAUUGCUUGAGCCCAGGAGUUAGAGGCUGCAGUGAGCCAUGAUCAUGCCACUGUAUUCCAGCCUGGGCAACAGAGCAAGACCCUGCCUCAU
rnacentral:SRP_RNA from 1 species